GGGACGGUCGCGCGAGGGAGGGACGCCGGCCGCGCGAGGGAGGGGCGCCGAUCGUGCGAGUGAGGAGCCGGCCGCGCGAGGGAGGGGCGCCAGCCAUACGAGGGAGGGGUCGGCCGUGCGAGGGAGGGACGCCGACCGCUCGAGGGAGGGGCCUACCGCACGAGGGAGGGGUGCCGGCUGUGUGCGGACGGUUAAGAGGAGACGCUGGCCGCGCCAGGGAGGGGCGGCGACGUCGGGCGUGGAGGAGGUAUCUACCGGACGUGGUCGGCGAUGUCGGGUAGCUCCACCACCGGCAGAAGGAGCUGGGACUAGGUGUAGACGGACUCGAAGAUACCGACUGGACGGGUUAGCGGCUACCUAAGGAAGAGGUUUGUCAUGUUACCGAUGAGGGCGAGACGGAGCCGGAGGGAAGAGGGGGUGUGCCGCUUACAGGACGAGGGAUGUUGUGGGUAUGGCAAGAAAGAGGGGAUCUACGUAGACCAGAGAGAAGUUAAUGUCCAGUCGUGGUCGCCACGCUUGUUUUUUUCCCGGGACACUAUCCCGUAGGUAGAAAAAAGUAGCUCCAGGUAGACGCAGCUCCGGUGGGACGGUAACAUUUUAAGACGAGAGUUUCCACAGACAAUAACACAUCCAUUUUGUUGGAUUUCAAAAAGAUAUGGAGUUGUUCAACUUGACUAAUACAUAGUGGCAUUCACAUUAUAUGACGUCAGGUUACAAACUAAUAAGUCGCCCGGUUACACAAGUAAUUGGUUAAGACACGUGAUUUUUUAAUAUCGUCCAUCUUACAAACACUUAGACAUAUAAUUUUCAUCAACCAGUCAUCCGAUUACCGACGUGACAGAGGCACCUUAUCAAAAGACCGAGUAAAGAUGAUCAACGGUAGGGGUCGGCGCUGUGGAAGAGAAGGACAAUAGUGGUGUUUUUGUCUCGUGUGUUUUUCUGAGCCCACGAUCAGCGACAGGUGGAGGAGUCCGUGGAGAGGCGAAGAACUCUCAAUCGACGCCGAAAGGUAACGGUAUAUGUGCGUCAAACAACAAAACGGGUUGGUGAAUAUAUACGCACGUACAAAGGUAAAAACGGUUUAAAACAACUAGAAAACAAAACUCUUUGUUUACACGUACACUUGCACUCUUUUUUCAGAUAUGUUUCUUCAAGUACAUAAUGAUUGGGUCUUCCAAGCACAUAAUGAUUCACACACGUGGAUAUUAAAGAGGGAGGUAUAUACACACAUACAUACAAACAUACAAGACGGUUAAGGUGAAAUCGAAACUGGUUCCAAGUGGUCGGUACAUUUGUUAUCAAGCCGCGUAUGCAGGAAGUGUUAUAAUAGAUAGGGGUAAUAAGUCAAAUUUUAACACAACAGAUCAAGAUCAAGAUAAGAUAAAAAGACUUCAAGUUAUCAUAGUCACGUUCGUUUUUUGACCCCAAAACUAUACAACCAAAGUCAAAGUCUUUAGGAAGUCCUUUUUUACGUUUUCUUUUUACCUCGUCCUCAGCGUCCGGAGUUCGGGAGAGAGGUGAAGUACCGAAGAACAAGAGUUUCGUGUUCGACGAUGACGAUGAUAAUCAUUUGAUGAAGACGAGUGAUAUUACUCGACUCGCCGCAACGGGUUGAUGCACCUACGAGCGGACGAGUGGCUCGCAGCGCUAUCAGGUGGACUUCGGUAGUCGUUCUCGUCGAACGUUGUCAGGGCGGAGAGCAAGCAGGUCACGAGGUUCUCCGGUCCCGUCUUUUCAGCCAGUAGAAGACUACUCGGGACGAGGUUGUCCUUGGAGAGGGAUGGAGAGAGUCGAUGACUACCCGUGGUAUCACACUUCAACUACAUCUCUUGUUCAAGACUAAUACAUGAGACAUGUACGAACAACUAUACAGUUACUCUUGGUUGAAAAAAGAAGUCCAACAACACUACUACAAACUAUCAAUUAUAAAAACGUUCAUGUUUUGAGGUC
rnacentral:rRNA from 1 species